rnacentral:rRNA from 1 species
AGAGUUUGAUCCUGGCUCAGAUUGAACGCUGGCGGCAGGCCUAACACAUGCAAGUCGAGCGGUAGAGAGAAGCUUGCUUCUCUUGAGAGCGGCGGACGGGUGAGUAAUGCCUAGGAAUCUGCCUGGUAGUGGGGGAUAACGUUCGGAAACGGACGCUAAUACCGCAUACGUCYUACGGGAGAAAGCAGGGGACCUUCGGGCCUUGCGCUAUCAGAUGAGCCUAGGUCGGAUUAGCUAGUUGGUGAGGUAAUGGCUCACCAAGGCGACGAUCCGUAACUGGUCUGAGAGGAUGAUCAGUCACACUGGAACUGAGACACGGUCCAGACUCCUACGGGAGGCAGCAGUGGGGAAUAUUGGACAAUGGGCGAAAGCCUGAUCCAGCCAUGCCGCGUGUGUGAAGAAGGUCUUCGGAUUGUAAAGCACUUUAAGUUGGGAGGAAGGGCAGUAAAUUAAUACUUUGCUGUUUUGACGUACCGACAGAA